rnacentral:rRNA from 1 species
GACGAACGCUGGCGGCGUGCUUAACACAUGCAAGUCGAACGGAAAGGCCCUGCUUGCAGGGUACUCGAGUGGCGAACGGGUGAGUAACACGUGGGUGAUCUGCCCUGCACUUCGGGAUAAGCCUGGGAAACUGGGUCUAAUACCGGAUAGGAGCCAUUUUUAGUGUGAUGGUUGGAAAGUUUUUUCGGUGUAGGAUGAGCUCGCGGCCUAUCAGCUUGUUGGUGGGGUAAUGGCCUACCAAGGCGGCGACGGGUAGCCGGCCUGAGAGGGUGGACGGCCACAUUGGGACUGAGAGACGGCCCAGACGCCUACGAGAGGCAGCAGGGGGGAAUAUUGCACAAUGGACGCAAGCCGGAUGCAGCGGCGCCGCGGGUGGGAUGACGGCCUUCGGGUUGUAAACUCCUUUCGCUAGGGACGAAGCUUUUUGUGACGGUACCUAGAGAAGAAGCACCGGCUAACUACGUG